rnacentral:rRNA from 1 species
GGAAACUCUGGGUAAAGCUUUCGAGCGCUUCGGGAUGGGCCUGCGGCGUAUCAGCUUGUUGGUAGGGUGACGGCCUACCAAGGCUAUGACGCGCAGCUGGUGUGAGAGCAUGACCAGCCACAAUGGGACUGCGACACGGCCCAUACUCCUACGGGAGGCAGCAGUGAGGAAUCUUCCGCAAUGGGGGCAACCCUGACGGAGCAACACCGCGUGCGGGACGACGGGCUUUUGCCUGUAAACCGCUUUUCUGAAGGAACAAAUUCUGAGCUAACUUCAGGAAUAAGCGCCUGCUAACUACGUGCCAGCAGCCGCGGUAAUACGUAGGGCGCGAGCGUUAACCGGAAUCACUGGGCGUAAAGCGUCUGUAGGCGUUUCGAAAAGUCUGAUGUAAAAGUUUUCCGCCCAACGGAAAAAGCGUAUCGGAAACUAUCGGAAUAGAGGAGUUCAGAGGCCAGUGGAAUGCUGCGUGUAGGGGUAAAAUCCGUAGAUAUGCAGUAGAACACCAAAAGCGAAGGCAGCUGGCUGGGAACUUCCUGACGCUGAGAGACGAAAGCGUGGGUAGCGAACGGGAUUAGAUACCCCGGUAGUCCACGCCGUAAACUAUGGAUACUCGAUAUUGGAGGCUCGACCCCUUCAGUGUCUAAGCUAACGCGUUAAGUAUCCCGCCUGAGGACUACGAUCGCAAGAUUAAAACUUAAAGGAAUAGACGGGGACCCACACAAGCGGUGGAGCAUGUGGUUUAAUUCGAUAAUAACCGAGGAACCUUACCUGGGCUUGACAUCCUGAGGAGUUCUGGGAAACCAGAAUGUGCCGCAAGGAACUCAGUGACAGGUGCUGCAUGGUUGUCGUCAGCUCGUGCCUUGAGGUGUGCUGUUAAGUCAGUGAACGAGCGCAACCCUUACCCUAAUUUGCAUAUGUAUCAGGGGACUGCCGGCUCCAAGUCGGAGGAAGGUAGGGAUGACGUCAAAUCAGCAUGGCCCUUAUGUCCAGGGCGACACACGUGCUACAAUGGGAUGUACAAAGGGUAGCCAAGCCGUAAGGUGGAGCCAAUCCCAACAAAGCAUCUCUCAGUUCGGAUUGAGGUCUGCAAUUCGACCUCAUGAAGUUGGAAUCGCUAGUAACCGUGAAUCAGAUACGUUACGGUGAAUAUGUUCCUGGGUCUUGUACUCACCGCCCGUCAAGUGAUGAGAGGUAGGGGCACCCGAAGUCGGUUUAUCCUUUUUUUUAAACGGAGGCUGCCUAAGGUGAAACUACUGAUUGGCACUAAGUCGUAACAAGGUA